rnacentral:rRNA from 2 species
GUGGGUAGUUUGACUGGGGCGGUCUCCUCCUAAAGAGUAACGGAGGAGCACGAAGGUUGGCUAAUCCUGGUCGGACAUCAGGAGGUUAGUGCAAUGGCAUAAGCCAGCUUGACUGCGAGCGUGACGGCGCGAGCAGGUGCGAAAGCAGGUCAUAGUGAUCCGGUGGUUCUGAAUGGAAGGGCCAUCGCUCAACGGAUAAAAGGUACUCCGGGGAUAACAGGCUGAUACCGCCCAAGAGUUCAUAUCGACGGCGGUGUUUGGCACCUCGAUGUCGGCUCAUCACAUCCUGGGGCUGAAGUAGGUCCCAAGGGUAUGGCUGUUCGCCAUUUAAAGUGGUACGCGAGCUGGGUUUAGAACGUCGUGAGACAGUUCGGUCCCUAUCUGCCGUGGGCGCUGGAGAACUGAGGGGGGCUGCUCCUAGUACGAGAGGACCGGAGUGGACGCAUCACUGGUGUUCGGGUUGUCAUGCCAAUGGCACUGCCCGGUAGCUAAAUGCGGAAGAGAUAAGUGCUGAAAGCAUCUAAGCACGAAACUUGCCCCGAGAUGAGUUCUCCCUGAGACUUUAGGUCUCCUGAAGGAACGU